rnacentral:snoRNA from 1 species
AGCAUUUAAGGCGUCUUUCCUCCCUCACGUGGGUCGGCAUUGCACAGCAAGCAGCGGCACCAU